CAGCAAACCUCCUUCCAGGAGGAGCCGCGGCCAAGCCUGCCCCUCCUGAGUCGCGGGCUGGCGCUGUCAGUUCUUGCGACGAUGAGGGCCACGCGGUCGUCCGACCCCCAACCUCUGUCUGGUCAAACAUCGUGUUCAAAUUCCUGAUGGCCUUCAAGUCAGAGGCCUGGGUUGAAACCAUUUGGAGAGUUUCUGAGAGAGUGUAUCACACGGCCUUUGGAGUCAGACACGCCGGGGUUGGAGUCCUGCCACGCACCGCACUACCUGGGAAGCUGGGGCUGUAGGUGCCUUCUCCACAUUCCUUCUCGGGGAGCGGAGCCCUCUAAAGCCACGCUCUCAUCCCGACGUUCUCAAGUAUGGUUUGCGGUGAACUGAGAGCUCAGACAUGACUGUUUGCUUGUUAAGCUUGUUCCUCAUUGCAAGCCCGAAGAAAAACCUGCCAAAAAUCAC
rnacentral:lncRNA from 1 species